rnacentral:rRNA from 1 species
GACGAACGCUGGCGGCGUGCCCAAUACUUGCAAGUCGAACUCAGUGGGGACGGGUGAGUAACACGUGGGUAACCUCCCAUCAGAGGGGAUAACACUUGGAAACAGGUGCUAAACCGAUAUUGUAGGAUGGACCCGCGGUGCAUUAGCAUGUUGGUGAGGUAACGGCGCACCAAGGCCACGAUGCAUAGCCGACCAGAGAGUGAGAUCGGCCACACUGGGACUGAGACACGGCCCGGAUUCCUAGGGGAGGCAGCAGGAGGGAAUCUUCGGCAAUGUACGAAAGUCGGAGCGAGCAACGACGCGUGAGUGAAGAAGGUUUUAGGAUCUUAAAACUCUGUUGUGAGAGAAGCGGUAUCUAACCGGAAAGCCACGGCUGACUACGUGACAGCAGACGCGGUAAUAC